rnacentral:rRNA from 1 species
UACGUAGGGGGCGAGCGUUAAUCGGAAUUACUGGGCGUAAAGCGUGCGCAGGCGGUAAGUUAAGUCUGAUGUGAAAGCCCCGGGCUCAACCUGGGAAUGGCAUUGGAAACUGGCUUGCUGGAGUGUGGCAGAGGGGGGUGGAAUUCCGCGUGUAGCAGUGAAAUGCGUAGAGAUGCGGAGGAACACCGAUGGCGAAGGCAGCCCCCUGGGCUGACACUGACGCUCAGGCACGAAAGCGUGGGGAGCAAACAGG